AUGUACAAGGGUAAAAUAGGUUAUUCAUAUUUAAAAUUAGUAUGGGGUGUAAAGAUAGUUUGACAAAAAAGUCAAACUAGGGUCGCAGGAACAUAUGUGGGGUGUAGUAAGCAAUUUUAAUUUUAAUUUUAAAUUUUUUUUGUCCUUAACGGUAAUUAUGUACAAGGGUAAAAUAGGUUAUUCAUAUUUAAAAUUAGUAUGGGGUGUAAAGAGCAAAUAAUGGGGUGCCUAUAAAAUCACCCAAAUAAUAAUUGGUUAGUAACCAAAAUUCUAAUGAAAUAAGGAACCAAAAUCCUAACUAAGUAUGGACUCGCCAACAAGGACUUGUUGUCUGCAAAGCCCUUUUCAGUGGAUUGGUUGAUUAUAUUAUUUCUGAUCCCGUUGUUGCUAUGAUUUGGGAGGGUAAGAAUGUUAUCCUAACUGGUCGAAAGAUUAUUGGUGCCACCAACCCAGCAGAAUCUGCCCCUGGAACCAUCCGUGGUGAUUAUGCAAUUGAGAUUGGCAGAGUCAUCUGCACAUGUCAAGGAAGACAAUUUCAAUAUUGCUAACAAGUCUAAACUGAAAGGGAGUCGUCCAAUGCCUGGGGUUGAACAUGCUGCUUUUAAAAAAUCUAAACUGGGCAAACUCAGGAAGGGAGUUCAUCAGUCUAAUAGUGGGCUGCAAAAAGGAAAACAGAAGUCAUUGUCAUCUAAGGAAUUGAUGACCAUGUACAAUGAAAAGAUUGAGGCCACAGUUGAGGUGGAAGAAGUCCGCAAGUAAAGGUAAAUGAUCUUCACAUUAUACGAUGCACACAAAGCAAGGGAAAUUGGUGAAGAAGACUCUACGGAAUGCAUCUUCUACUACUGAUCGUAAAAGGGAAGAAAACAAUUCAGGUUUAUCAACUGUACAAGUUCCAUCUGCAAACCCGGCCAACUUACCUACAAAAAACAGGGGUAAAUGGGAGAUGGACAUGCAGAAAUCAUCAAUACAGAAGGAUACAAAGUCUCCUGAGAGUAUUUUAGAUGACCAACCUGAUAAACUGGUUCCUUCAUUUCGUAACAGAGAACUAAAUUAAGGAAAAGCUUUCUAAUUGCUUAUCUCGGUAUCAAGUGCGGAGAUGGUGUGCUUUUGAAUGGUUUUACAGUGCAAUUGAUUACCCAUGGUUUGCUAAAAGGGAGUUUGUGGAAUACUUGGAUCAUGUUGGAUUGGGUCAUGUUCCAAGAUUAACUCGUGUUGAAUGGGGUGUAAUAAGGAGCUCCCUUGGCAGACCACAGAGAUUUUCUGAACAGUUCUUGAAGGAAGAAAAAGAGAAGCUUAAUCAGCACCGGGAAUCUGUUAGAACGCAUUAUGCUGAACUUAAUGCUGGUACAAGGGACGGAUUUCUGACUGACGUAGCUCGGCCUUUAUCAAUUGGACAGCAUGUCAUUGCUUUUCAUCCCAGGGCAAGAGAGAUCCACAAUGGAAUUGUACUAACCGUCGACCAUAGUAGGUGUUCUGUGCAGUUUGACCAGCUUGAACUAGGGGUUGAAUAUAUCAUGGUAAUUAGUUUCC